GCGGCGAGCGAAGCGGGAAAAGCUCAAAUUUGUAAUCUGGCGUCUACGACGUCCGAGUUGUAAUCUCGAGAAGUGUUUUCCGUGAUAGACCGCAUACAAGUCUCUUGGAACAGAGCGUCAUAGUGGUGAGAACCCAGUACACGAUGCGGAUGCCUAUUACUUUGUGAUACACUUUCGAAGAGUCGAGUUGUUUGGGAAUGCAGCUCAAAUUGGGUGGUAAAUUCCAUCUAAAGCUAAAUAUUGGCGAGAGACCGAUAGCGAACAAGUACCGUGAGGGAAAGAUGAAAAGCACUUUGGAAAGAGAGUUAACAGUACGUGAAAUUGUUGGAAGGGAAACACAUGCAGCCAGACUUGCUAUUCGGGGCAACUCGAUUGGCAGGCCCGCAUCAGUUUUUCGGGGCGGAAAAUCAUAGAGAGAAGGUAGCAGUUUCGGCUGUGUUAUAGCUCUUUAUUGGAUUCGCCCUGGGGGACUGAGGAACGCAGCGUGCUUUUAGCAUAAGCUUCGGCUUAUCCACGCUUAGGAUGCGGGUGUAAUGGCUGUAUAUGACCCGUCUU
rnacentral:rRNA from 1 species